AUUGAACGCUGGCGGCAUGCCUUACACAUGCAAGUCGAACGGUAACAGGUCUUCGGAUGCUGACGAGUGGCGAACGGGUGAGUAAUACAUCGGAACGUGCCCGAUCGUGGGGGAUAACGAAGCGAAAGCUUUGCUAAUACCGCAUAAGAUCUACGGAUGAAAGCAGGGGACCGCAAGGCCUUGCGCGAACGGAGCGGCCGAUGGCAGAUUAGGUAGUUGGUGGGAUAAAAGCUUACCAAGCCGACGAUCUGUAGCUGGUCUGAGAGGACGACCAGCCACACUGGGACUGAGACACGGCCCAGACUCCUACGGGAGGCAGCAGUGGGGAAUUUUGGACAAUGGGCGAAAGCCUGAUCCAGCCAUGCGGCGUGCAGGAUGAAGGCCUUCGGGUUGUAAACUGCUUUUAUACGGAACGAAAAGACUCUUUCUAAUAAAGAGGGUCCAUGACGGUACCGUAAGAAUAAGCACCGGCUAACUACGUGCCAGCCGCCGCCGUAAGAC
rnacentral:rRNA from 1 species